rnacentral:rRNA from 1 species
CCUACGGGAGGCUGCAGUGGGGAAUAUUGGACAAUGGGCGAAAGCCUGAUCCAGCCAUGCCGCGUGUGUGAAGAAGGCCUUCGGGUUGUAAAGCACUUUCAGUGGGGAAGAAAGCCUUGGGGCUAAUACCCUCGAGGAAGGACAUCACCCACAGAAGAAGCACCGGCUAACUCCGUGCCAGCAGCCGCGGUAAUACGGAGGGUGCGAGCGUUAAUCGGAAUUACUGGGCGUAAAGCGCGCGUAGGCGGUCUGAUAAGCCGGUUGUGAAAGCCCCGGGCUCAACCUGGGAACGGCAUCCGGAACUGUCAGGAUAGAGUGCAGGAGAGGAAGGUGGAAUUCCCGGUGUAGCGGUGAAAUGCGUAGAGAUCGGGAGGAAUACCAGUGGCGAAGGCGGCCUUCUGGACUGACACUGACGCUGAGGUGCGAAAGCGUGGGUAGCAAACAGGAUUAGAUACCCCAGUAGUC